CCCAGCUCGUCAUGCUAGAGCACUUUUUCAAUGUGCUCCCCAACUAGAAGGCGAUGAUACAUUCGUAUGUCAGUCCAUAUCAACUUUCGAUGCCAUUGUAUGCGCCUACAAUGGUUACCACGGGUAACGGGGAAUCAGGGUUUGAUUCCAUACAGGGACCCUGACAAACAGCUACCACAUGCAAGGAAGGCAGCAGGCGUGCAAAUGACCCACUCCUGACACGGUAAGGUAGUGACG